CAUUAUGAGUUGUGAUGGGGUUUGAUGCUGGCAGCCAAUUUUUGGAUGCAUGUGCUUGCCCUAACAAUCAUCUUCCAAACACCUGUGCACAUUUUUGAGGGAAUUUCGAGUUGAUUGCCGCNUUUGGGUGAUUUUCUUGCAUUCCCUUAAAUCAUUAUACGCUAUUAACAAUUCUGAACGUGCCCUGUGCCGCAAGGCCAUUAAUAUAAUACAACUUUUAACAACGGAUCUCUUGGCUCUCGCAUCGAUGAAGAACGCAGCGAAAUGCGAUAAGUAAUGUGAAUUGCAGAAUUCAGUGAAUCAUCGAAUCUUUGAACGCACCUUGCGCUCCCUGGUAUUCCGGGGAGCACGCCUGUUCGAGUGUCGCGAAAUUUCUCAAGCUUGGAUGGCUUUUUGUCUAUCCUUAGCCUUGGUUGUUGGGCUUUGCCGUGUCUUUAUUGGUACGGCUGGCCUUAAAAGCAUUANCUGACCCUUGUGUAGCACCGGUUCUACUCAGCGUGAUAACAGUCUGAUCGCUGAGGACAUCUUUUGAGGUGGCCAGUUCUC
rnacentral:misc_RNA from 1 species